rnacentral:rRNA from 1 species
CGGAAUAGUACGUUGAAGGGUGUAGUUAUAGGCUGUGUAGGCAAAUCCGCACGGCUUGAUGAACCUGAUAGUACCACAAUGCUUCGGCAGCGUGGAUAGUAGACCUAAUCAGACUUCCAAGAAAAACCUCUAAGUAAUGUAUGUGGUACCCGUACCGUAAACCGACACAGGUAGUCAAGGAGAGAAUCCUGAGGUGCUCGAGUGAUCCGUGGCUAAGGAACUAGGCAAAAUGGCCCUGUAACUUCGGGAGAAGGGGCGCUUCCUCUGUAAAGAGAAGCCGCAGUGAAUAGGCCCAGGCGACUGUUUAGCAAAAACACAUGGCUAUGCGAAGAUUAAUGUCGACGUAUAUGGCCUGACACCUGCCCGGUGCUGG